CAAGCUAGUCAAAACGAGAGCAUACAGCUUCUGGGCAAGAGUUUCAAAAUAAAACCGAUUGGGGGCGUACGUUCUGGGUUCGUCAAAGAAAGAACCAAAAGCGAAGGAUGUGGAUGACCUCUAUUAGUUCCGCAACUUGACGCAGCUGCGAGAAGUUGGGAGGACCAGGGAGGGCAGAGCGAGAAAUGCCCAGAAUUCAACGCGAUAGACCAACAUCCGAAAACUGUUCAAAAUGGUUAUGGCUUUUCAAUUUCUUAUAUGUUUCCAGCAUAAAUAAAGUAUCGUAUAAUUACCCUU